CCCGCUGAACUUAAGCAUAUCAAUAAGCGGAGGAAAAGAAACUAACAAGGAUUCCCUUAGUAACGGCGAGUGAAGCGGGAAGAGCUCAAAUUUAAAAUCUCGUCGGUUUCUCCGGCGCGAAUUGUAGUUUAUGGAAGCGUUUUUUCGGCAGAAGCCUAGGUACAAGUCCUUUGGAACAGGGUAUCAUAGAGGGUGAGAAUCCCGUCUCUGACCUUGGUUUUUCUGCUAUGUGAUACGUUCUCCGAGAGUCGGGUUGUUUGGGAAUGCAGCCUAAAAUGGGUGGUAAAUUUCAUCUAAAGCUAAAUAUUGGCGAGAGACCGAUAGCGAACAAGUACCGUGAGGGAAAGAUGAAAAGAACUUUGAAAAGAGAGUUAAACAGUACGUGAAAUUGUUGAAAGGGAAACGUUUGGAUCCAACAAUGCUUGCGGUGUGAUCAUCUUCGGGUGCUCUCACCCGUUAGCAAGUUAGCGUCGGUUUGGAUUGCCGGAUAAAAACCAAGGGAAUGUGGCUCACUUUCGGGAGAGUGUUAUAGCCCUGGUCGAUACGGUGAUCUGGACUGAGGUCUGCAGCCGAACUUUUUGUUGGGGUCACAGCCGCUGGGUGCGCGUCUAUGGUAGACAGCUUGCUGACUAUUGUAGAAGGAGUCGUGUCCACACGGUUGUUUUACCUACACUUCCGGCUUAGGUCGCUGACUUAAUGGUUCCAAAUGACCCGUCUUGAAACACGG
rnacentral:rRNA from 1 species